GGCCGAUAAACGAAUCUGGAAAUAAUAAUAACGUCUACUAAUUCGGUUUUCUUUUUAGAUUCUGAGCGAAGCGAGGAACGCAUAUUGCUGUUUUACUACGAAGUGUGUCUGAAAAACCACUUUUCUACCGGAAAUCUUGGACACUUAGUUUCGGAACUUUCGCGUUUAUUUUUGUAUCGAGUUGGUGCGUUAUUUUGAUUUUGAAAUAACCGACAAUUUUCGUGUGCGCGUUUUGUAGUUUUUCUGCUCCGGGUCGUUUUUCGCCAGGAAUAGUUUAUGGUUGCGUAAAAAUAUAAAUUAAACUGCUCCAUAGGGAGUUCAGGUAGGCCGUCCAGAAUUCGUGUCUGAGAGCGUCCCUCGCCCAUCAGCAGUAUCAGCGGUGUACU